rnacentral:rRNA from 1 species
ACACAUGCAAGUCGAACGAUGAACCUCACUUGUGGGGGGAUUAGUGGCGAACGGGUGAGUAACACGUGAGUAACCUGCCCUUGACUCUGGGAUAAGCCUGGGAAACCGGGUCUAAUACUGGAUACGACCUUCCCGCGCAUGCGGUGUUGGUGGAAAGCUUUUGUGGUUUUGGAUGGACUCGCGGCCUAUCAGCUUGUUGGUGGGGUAAUGGCCUACCAAGGCGACGACGGGUAGCCGGCCUGAGAGGGUGACCGGCCACACUGGGACUGAGACACGGCCCAGACUCCUACGGGAGGCAGCAGUGGGGAAUAUUGCACAAUGGGCGCAAGCCUGAUGCAGCGACGCCGCGUGAGGGAUGAAGGCCUUCGGGUUGUAAACCUCUUUCAGUAGGGAAGAAGCUGGUCCUUUUGGGGUUGGUGACGGUACCUGCAGAAGAAGCGCCGGCUAACUACGUGCCAGCAGCCGCGGUAAUACGUAGGGCGCAAGCGUUAUCCGGAAUUAUUGGGCGUAAAGAGCUCGUAGGCGGUUUGUCGCGUCUGCCGUGAAAGUCCGGGGCUUAACUCCGGAUCUGCGGUGGGUACGGGCAGACUAGAGUGCAGUAGGGGAGACUGGAAUUCCUGGUGUAGCGGUGAAAUGCGCAGAUAUCAGGAGGAACACCGAUGGCGAAGGCAGGUCUCUGGGCUGUAACUGACGCUGAGGAGCGAAAGCAUGGGGAGCGAACAGGAUUAGAUACCCUGGUAGUCCAUGCCGUAAAC